AGAUGGAGGGUGAAAGACAAGGAAAAAGGAGUGAGUGAGUGGUUGAGUAGAGGGAGGAGAAAGCAAACGCUGCCUUCGCUGUGCAUGCUGGGUAAUUUGUUUCUCUUCAGUGAACAGCGUGUCGUCCAUUUGUCUGUCGUUUUGGAUCCCAACCUACGUCUAGAUAAUGGAUUGUAAGAUUUACGUUGGAGACCUACCGAGAGAUGCGUCCGAGAAGGAAAUUGAACGGGCAUUCUGCUACUAUGGCCCGCUGAGGAACGUCUGGGUUGCUCGCAACCCUUCUGGUUUUGCCUUUGUGGAGUUUGAAGAUCCCAGGGAUGCAGAAGAUGCUGUCCGAGCCCUUGAUGGAACAAAUGUUUGCGGUGCCAGGGUCAGAGUGGAACACUCAACAGGGAAAGUUCGUCCGAAACCCUGGAUGAGAGGUGGUCGCGGAUCAUCGAAGACUAGGAGACCAUUCCAUCCUGAAGACAGAUGCUUUGAAUGUGGCGACAGGGGGCACUACGCCUACGACUGCUCUCGGUACAAGCGUACCGGACGAUCUAGGUACUCGAAGCGGCACUCCAAACCAUUCCUGCUACGUAGAGACGUGGGACUAAUUUGAGAGCUUCAUUGCACCACGGCUUAAGAUCUCUUCAGCCUACCUUUGAGCUUCUACUAAGUGUUGAUCAUCGUUGAUUUGAAUCCCGCUCUCGUUCGCGGUCCGGAAGGAGUUACUCCCGCAGCUGGAGUCGCAGUCGGAGUCAUAGCCGCUCCCCCCGGAGGGCCAGCAGAAGCCACAGCAGGAAUUAAAACUUUAUUAGAAGUCAGUCUUAAAU
rnacentral:misc_RNA from 1 species